ACGAACGCUGGCGGCGUGGAUAAGACAUGCAAGUCGAACGGGAGAAUUGCUAGCUUGCUAAUAAUUCUCUAGUGGCGCACGGGUGAGUAACACGUGAGUAACCUGCCUCUUAGUGGGGGAUAGCCCUGGGAAACCGGGAUUAAUACCGCAUACGAUUGAAAGAUCAAAGCAGCAAUGCGCUAGGAGAUGGGCUCGCGGCCUAUUAGUUAGUUGGUGAGGUAACGGCUCACCAAGGCGAUGACGGGUAGCCGGUCUGAGAGGAUGUCCGGCCACACUGGAACUGAGACACGGUCCAGACACCUACGGGUGGCAGCAGUCGAGAAUCAUUCACAAUGGGGGCAACCCUGAUGGUGCGACGCCGCGUGGGGGAAUGAAGGUCUUCGGAUUGUAAACCCCUGUCAUGUGGGAGCAAAUUAAAAAGAUAGUACCACAAGAGGAAGAGACGGCUAACUCUGUGCCAGCAGCCGCGGUAAUACAGAGGUCUCAAGCGUUGUUCGGAAUCACUGGGCGUAAAGCGUGCGUAGGCUGUUUCGUAAGUCGUGUGUGAAAGGCAGGGGCUCAACCCCUGGAUUGCACAUGAUACUGCGAGACUAGAGUAAUGGAGGGGGAACCGGAAUUCUCGGUGUAGCAGUGAAAUGCGUAGAUAUCGAGAGGAACACUCGUGGCGAAGGCGGGUUCCUGGACAUUAACUGACGCUGAGGCACGAAGGCCAGGGGAGCGAAAGGGAUCAGAUACCCCUGUAGUCCUGGCAGUAAACGGUGCACGCUUGGUGUGCGGGGAAUCGACCCCCUGCGUGCCGGAGCUAACGCGUUAAGCGUGCCGCCUGGGGAGUACGGUCGCAAGAUUAAAACUCAAAGAAAUUGACGGGGACCCGCACAAGCGGUGGAGUAUGUGGCUUAAUUCGAUGCAACGCGAAGAACCUUACCUGGGCUUGACAUGUAAUGAACAACAUGUGAAAGCAUGCGACUCUUCGGAGGCGUUACACAGGUGCUGCAUGGCCGUCGUCAGCUCGUGUCGUGAGAUGUUUGGUUAAGUCCAGCAACGAGCGCAACCCCUGUUGCCAGUUACCAGCACGUCAAGGUGGGGACUCUGGCGAGACUGCCCAGAUCAACUGGGAGGAAGGUGGGGACGACGUCAGGUCAGUAUGGCCCUUAUGCCCAGGGCUGCACACGUACUACAAUGCCCAGUACAGAGGGGGCCGAAGCCGCGAGGCGGAGGAAAUCCUGAAAACUGGGCCCAGUUCGGACUGUAGGCUGCAACCCGCCUACACGAAGCCGGAAUCGCUAGUAAUGGCGCAUCAGCUACGGCGCCGUGAAUACGUUCCCGGGUCUUGUACACACCGCCCGUCACAUCAUGGAAGCCGGUCGCACCCGAAGUAUCUGAAGCCAACCGCAAGGAGGCAGGGUCCUAAGGUGAGACUGGUAACUGGGAUG
rnacentral:rRNA from 1 species